AACGCACAUUGCGCCCGUUAGUAUUCUGACGGGCAUGCCUGUUCGAGCGUCAUUUCAACCCUCAGGCCCUGCCUGGUGAUGGGGAUCCCGCGGCCCAGCGCCGCGGGGCCCUGAAAAGCAGCGGCGGGCUCUGCUGAAACCCGAGCGUAGUAAUCUCUCUCGCUCCGGGGACUGGCGGGCGCCCUGCCCCACACCCUUUUAUGUCUUCAAUGGUUGACCUCGGAUCAGGUAGGAAUACCCGCUGAACUUAA
rnacentral:misc_RNA from 1 species